CACUAAGUGAGUACUUAGUGGGUUAUUUUAUUAAUAAUAAUAAAGUUGGUUCAGGCAAAAUGCCCCAAACAAAAACAACAAAACGCAAAUAAACAGACAAUGCUCUAGAAGGUUCAAACAAGAGAAAAUUAGGAAAGUAAAAAACUUGCAGCAGCAGCCGCCGUUCUUCAGCUUCACCGCCGCCGGAGAAGAUGCUGAUUUCUCCGAUAUGGAACAACUAUUCGCAUCCCUAAGCUCUCACCAGAUGUCGUUUAUCCAUAUCCACGGAGUUCAAUCUCAGAUCAAUCAGAACUAUUCCAACAAGGUCCUCUGCCUGAUCAUUCUCUGACAAAGCAACAAACUGAUUACUGAUCUGCACAACAUUGAUUCCAAUGACCAGAAUUGCCAAUCAUCCUGCUACUAGAGAGCAUUCUAGCUGAAUUAUGGUAUCCUCUAUGCCUUUCCUUUUCAUAAUUAUUUUGUUUUCCCCU